rnacentral:sRNA from 1 species
UAGAACUGUACUGAAUUCACCUGGAUGC